GGGUAUGUAGUUCAAAUGAUAGAGCGCUCGCUUAGCAUGCGAUAGGUGCUGGGAACGAUACCCAGCAUCUCCA
rfam:Tropilaelaps mercedesae isolate Wuxi-XJTLT scaffold0000020350, whole genome shotgun sequence.